rnacentral:rRNA from 1 species
CACGUAGGGUGCGAGCGUUGUCCGGAAUUAUUGGGCGUAAAGAGCUCGUAGGCGGUUUGUCGCGUCGACUGUGAAAACCCUAGGCUUAACCUCGGGCCUGCAGUCGAUACGGGCAGACUAGAGUUCGGUAGGGGAGACUGGAAUUCCUGGUGUAGCGGUGAAAUGCGCAGAUAUCAGGAGGAACACCGGUGGCGAAGGCGGGUCUCUGGGCCGAUACUGACGCUGAGGAGCGAAAGCGUGGGGAGCGAACAGG